UACGAAGGGGGCUAGCGUUGCUCGGAAUUACUGGGCGUAAAGCGCACGUAGGCGGGUUCUUAAGUCGGUGGUGAAAUCCUGGAGCUCAACUCCAGAACUGCCUUCGAAACUGGGAAUCUUGAGUCCGGGAGAGGUGAGUGGAACUGCGAGUGUAGAGGUGAAAUUCGUAGAUAUUCGCAAGAACACCAGUGGCGAAGGCGGCUCACUGGCCCGGUACUGACGCUGAGGUGCGAAAGCGUGGGAGCAACAGGG
rnacentral:rRNA from 1 species